UUCUAAAGUAAAAUUUGAAGAGAUGCUGAUUGCUAUAUGUAUGCAUUUUAAUGAAAAUAAAUAAUUUUAUGACUGUUUUUCAUUUUGACCAGUUUGUAAUCUCAGACAUCUUUACCAUUUGUUUAACUUAGGCAUUAUGCAAGAGCUAAAUGUGCCUAUUGCAAGUAUUUCUUUAGGCCUUAAAUUUUAUAUGAACUAUUAAAGAUACAUUAUGGAAGAUUAAAUAAAGAGCUGGCAGUUCGCACUGUAGUACAAUGUAGUUAAAAACUAGAUAAUAUAAAGGGAAUAUGCUGAAAAUUUCAGUCAUAUUGCACCACUCUGAACCGAGAUAUUAGCGAUUGAAUUUUGGGCCUCGUCCCGAUCAUCAUUACUAAAGUCUGUACAAUAAAAAAAAAAGUCUUGAUUAUCCACGUUUUCGUUUAAUCAUCAAUGAGUGGGGAACAGCAGAUCGGAUUCAAAUCCAGUGAGAAUCCGACACAUGAGAUGGCAUCGAGAGAUGAUCACGGUCUUUUCAUGUUAACAAAUGUCUAAUAAAUAGUUUAUAUCACAUUUCAGACCCAAAGAAAGACCUUCAAUAGGCAGAUUUAGCUCUUGCAUAAUGUAGGCUAUGUUUAAAGAUACAUUAGUAAAGACUUUAAUAAAGAGUUGGCCAUAUUCUUGCUAUAAUAAUUCAAAAAUAGAUGAUAUAAAAAGAAAAUAUUGAAAAUUGCAGUCAAAUUACUUUAUUUUUAACAGGGUAUCACUGUUGAAAGUUUAGACUAGAAAUAGGCAUCAACUGUCCCUGCAUCAUCUCUGAGAAUUGCAGAUCGUUUGGUUGACAGACGAUAACUCCACCCGCAUAUUCCCGAUUAUCAAGUAACAUUCUCAAUGGCUUCAGCCUUCAGUACCCUCGAUUGACAGGCCUUUCAUCGGCAGUCUGCGGCAGUGAUGUCAGUCAGCAACGGUAAACGUUAGCUUGGUCAGCCAUUUAUUGAUUUAAUUAUGAAAUGGUCGACUGUUUAAAUCCAAGCUAUAUCCAAGCCAUCCGAGGGUCUACAGAGUUGAUUUUGAGCUUGUCAUGUAAAUAAAGGUCUAAUUAAUAAUUUCUAUAAUGUCUAAAGCCUAAAGAAAGACUUGCAAUGGGCAGAUUUAGCUCUUCACUAAUUGUAUCUUUAACUAGACAUUAUAUUAACAUGUCAAGACCAUAAUCAACUCUUGAUGCCAUCUGAUGGGUCAGAUUUUCAACAGAUUUGAAUCCAAUCUGUGGUUCAAUGGCUGAUGAUGAAUAAUCUGUAAAAAUGGAUAAUCAAGACUUUUUUUUAUUAUUGUAACAAUGGUAACAAUGAUAAUCAAGGCUACAGUGUUUUUAAAAUGAGGAUUUCUUGACUCGGAGUGAAGUAAUUUGAUUGAAAUUUUCAGCAUAUUCCCUUUACAUUAUCUUUUUUUAACUAUUAGUAUUAUAGCGAGAACUGUCGGCUCUUUAUCUAAUCUUCCAUAAUGCCACUUUAAGUCCGAAAAUUAUUUUGGACAGUACAUGUACCUACAAGGUCAUUUGUAGUUCCCCCACGGGCCCACCCAAGCCUUUUCAACAAAGGAUAUCUUGUAUAGACUUGGAGUCUAGAUCAAAUGAUCUUCAAUAUUCCACAGACUCUGAAUGUGAAAUAGAAAUAUAUGAUCGAAUAUGAGACUGACAAUCAGUCGACCACUGAUGCAUGAUUAAUAAAUAUCGGUAUUGAACAUUUAUGAUUUGACUGAUUAAUUUUUGUUAGUUUGAUAUCAAAAGAAAGAGAAGGAAAUUCUUUCAAAUGUUUAGUUUAUUUAUUUAUGAACACUCACAAUAAUACAGAACAUUUAUUAAGAGUUUAUUUAAUGUACAUUUGUAAUUUAGACUAUUCAUAAGCAGUCUCCUCUAGAAAUUUUGUGGGUGUUUUAAAUGGCUCCAGCAAAAUACACUCCUGUGUAAUUGUCAGAUCUCAAGGCCUGAUCAUGUGAAAUGCAAUCAAAAAUGUUCUGCACUAAGGGCGCCAGAUAGUGAAAAUGUUUUUAAAAUUCAGUUAAUUAAAAAAGGAAACAAAUGUUUUCUCUGUACUUUCCUUCAAAAGUUUUUUUUUUGUAAGGAGUGGAAAAGACUUCUCAGUAAAUAAAACAAUUAUUGACCUUUGAUUUUGAAGAGUUUGAAUCAGUUAUUUUGUAAAUGGAAGAGAUUGAAAUGAGAUUCUAUGUAAAAUAAACUUCACUCCAAAAUUUUGAGGGUCCUGUCAACUUACACCAAAGUUUGCUAUGAAAUUUGGAACUGGUGGGUUGGACAGCAAGUUGUUUUCGUUCCUCUUUAUUAUUUGUAAUUUUCGAGGAAACCAAGAUGGCGGCGCCCAUAGCGGACGACGCUUCAUUUACCAGAGCAUUAGAUGGCAUUUUUAAAAGCUGGACUGCCCUGCAGUUAGCAGUUAGUCAUGGUUUUGGUGGUGCCUACAGUCAGGAAAAGGCGGAAUGGUUAGUGUUUGCAACAGAAACUUGGUUUAGUGAAAAUUCUAGAAUAGAAACAUAUGAGUGUGAAGAAUACCUAGAAGAUGUGUUAAAUCAAGAAUUUGAUUUAAUAAUUGAGGAUGGAAGUUUAAGUGAAAUAGCCAAAAAAAUAUGUAGAUUUUACCAGUUAUUUAAAGAAAAGAAAUAUGAUGAAAUAAAAGAAUAUAUUAGAACAUUACCUGUUGCUCAGGUUAAUAAUUGUCAGAAGGCAGAAAGUGAUGAAGAAAUCGAG